AAUCAGCGCUGGCGGCAUGCCUAACACAUGCAAGUCGAACGAAGGCUUCGGCCUUAGUGGCGCACGGGUGCGUAACGCGUGGGAAUCUGCCCUUAGGUACGGAAUAACUCAGGGAAACUUGAGCUAAUACCGUAUAAUGACUUCGGUCCAAAGAUUUAUCGCCUAAGGAUGAGCCCGCGUCGGAUUAGCUAGUUGGUGAGGUAAAAGCUCACCAGGGCGACGAUCCGUAGCUGGUCUGAGAGGAUGAUCAGCCACACUGGGACUGAGACACGGCCCAGACUCCUACGGGAGGCAGCAGUGGGGAAUAUUGGACAAUGGGCGCAAGCCUGAUCCAGCAAUGCCGCGUGAGUGAUGAAGGCCUUAGGGUUGUAAAGCUCUUUUACCUGGGAAGAUAAUGACUGUACCGGGAGAAUAAGCCCCGGCUAACUCCGUGCCAGCAGCCGCGGUAACAC
rnacentral:rRNA from 1 species